AACGAACGCUGGCGGCAUGCCUAACACAUGCAAGUCGAACGGGACCGUCGGGUCUAGUGGCGCACGGGUGCGUAACGCCUGGGAACCUGCCCGUAGGUUCGGAAUAACUCCCUGAAGGGGGUGCUAAUACCGGAUAAUGUCUUCGGACCUAAGAUCUGUGGCGUCUGGAUGGGGGCGCGUUGGUUUAGCUAGUUGGUGGGGUACUGGCCUACCAAGGCUUUGAUGGAUAGCUGGUCUGAGAGGAUGACCGGCCACACUGGGACUGAGAUACGGCACAGACGCCUACGGGAGGCAGCAGUGGGGAAUAUUGCACAAUGGGCGGAAGCCUGAUGCAGCAACGCCGCGGGCGGGAUGACGGCCUUCGGGUUGUAAACCGCUGUCGCCUGUGACGAAGCGUGAGUGACGGUAAUGGGUAAAGAAGCACCGGCGAACUACGU
rnacentral:rRNA from 1 species